GGAGUUCGGGAUAACUACGGGAAACUGUAGUUAAUACCGGAUAUGCCCUGGAGAGAUCUGGGGGAAAGUUUAUGCUCCGGGAUGGGCCCGCGUUGGAUUAGGUAGUUGGUGGGGUAAUGGCCUACCAAGUCAUUGAUCCGUAGCCGGUCUGAGAGGAUGAUCGGCCAUACUGGGAUUGAGAUAUGGCCCAGAUUUUUAUGGGAGGUAGUAGUGGGGAAUUUUGGAUAAUGGGGGUAAUCCUGAUCCAGUGAUGCCGCGUGGGUGAUGAAGGCCUUUGGGUUGUAAAGCCCUUUUUGUCGGGGAUGAUGAUGAUGGUACCCGACGAAUAAGCACCGGUUAACUCCGUGUUAGUAGUUGUGGUAAGACGGAGGGUGCUAGCGUUGUUCGGAAUUACUGGGCGUAAAGGGCGCGUAGGUGGCUUGUUAAGUCGGGUGUGAAAGUCCGGGGUUUAACCCCGGAAUGGCACCCGAGACUGGCAGGUUGGAGACCGGGAGAGGAGAGUGGAAUACCCAGUGUAGAGGUGAAAUUUGUAGAUAUUGGGUGGAAUAUUAGUGGUGAAAGUGGCUCUCUGGCCCGAUUUUGACACUGAGGCGCGAAAGCGUGGGGAGUAAAUAGGAUUAGAUAUCCUGGUAGUCCACGCUUUAAAUGAUGUGCGCUAGAUGUCGGGGGAUUUGUCCCUCGGUGUCGUUGUUAAUCUAUUAAGCGCACCGCCUGGGGAGUAUGGUUGUAAGGUUAAAACUCAAAGGAAUUGACGGGGGCCCGUAUAAGUGGUGGAGCAUGUGGUUUAAUUCGACGCAAUGCGUAGAAUUUUGCCAGCCCUUGAUAUGGUGGCCGUUGCCCGGUGAAAGCCGGGAGUCCUUGUAAGGGGGGCCAUCAUAGGUGCUGUAUGGCUGUCGUCAGUUUGUGUUGUGAGAUGUUGGGUUAAGUCUCGCAACGAGUGUAAUCCUUACCUCUAGUUGCCAGUGGGUUGGGUUGGGUAUUCUAGAGGGAUUACCGGUGAUAAGCCGGAGGAAGGUGGGGAUGACGUUAAGUCUUUAUGGCUCUUAUGGGCUGGGUUAUACACGUGCUAUAAUGGCGGUGAUAGUAGGUAGCGAAGCAGUGAUGUGGAGCUAAUUUUUAAAAGCCGUCUUAGUUCGGAUUGCAGGCUGUAAUUUGCCUGCAUGAAGGUGGAAUUGUUAGUAAUCGUGGAUUAGUAUGCCACGGUGAAUAUGUUCCCGGGCCUUGUAUAUAUUGCCCGUCACACCAUGGGAGUUGGUUCUAUCUGAAGUUGGUGAGUUAAUCUUGUAAGAGGAGGUAGCCGUUCAUGGUCGGGUCAGCGACUGGGGUGAAGUUGAAUAAGGUA
rnacentral:rRNA from 1 species